rnacentral:rRNA from 1 species
CCUACGGGCGGCAGCAGUGGGGAAUAUUGUACAAUGGGGGAAACCCUGAUGCAGCGACGCCGCGUGAGUGAAGAAGUAUUUCGGUACGUAAAGCUCUAUCAGCAGGGAAGAAAAUGACGGUACCUGACUAAGAAGCCCCGGCUAACUACGUGCCAGCAGCCGCGGUAAUACGUAGGGGGCAAGCGUUAUCCGGAUUUACUGGGUGUAAAGGGAGCGUAGACGGCAGCGCAAGUCUGGAGUGAAAUCCCAUGGCUUAACCAUGGAACUGCUUUGGAAACUGUGCAGCUAGAGUGCAGGAGAGGUAAGCGGAAUUCCUAGUGUAGCGGUGAAAUGCGUAGAUAGUAGGAGGAACACCAGUGGCGAAGGCGGCUUACUGGACUGUAACUGACGUUGAGGCUCGAAAGCGUGGGGAGCAAACAGGAUUAGAUACCCCUGUAGUC